GAUGAACGCUGGCGGCGUGCCUAAUACAUGCAAGUCGAGCGAACAGACGAGGAGCUUGCUCCUCUGACGUUAGCGGCGGACGGGUGAGUAACACGUGGAUAACCUACCUAUAAUACUGGGAUAACUUCGGGAAACCGGAGCUAAUACCGUAUAACAUGUUGAACCGCAUGGUUCAACAGUGAAAGACGGUUUUGCUGUCACUUAUAGAUGGAUCCGCGUCGCAUUAGCUAGUUGGUAAGGUAACGGCUUACCAAGGCAACGAUGCGUAGCCGACCUGAGAGGGUGAUAGGCCACACGAGAACUGGGACACGGUCAAGGGGCCUAAGGGAGGCAGCAGUAGGGAAUCUUACGCAAUGGGCGGAAGCAUGACGGAGCAGGGCCGAGUGAGUGAAAGAGGUCUUCGGAGCGUAAAACUCGGUUAUUAGGGAAGAACAAAUGUGUAAGUAAAUAUGCACGGAUUGACGGUAACUAAUAAGAAAGCCACGGCUAACUACGUG
rnacentral:rRNA from 1 species